rnacentral:lncRNA from 1 species
GUCCGCGAGCUGGAGGCUGUGUACUUAUGGCUUCUUGCUCCUUUGCGUCCUGCAGCAGGCUGAGUCCCUCGCCUGAUUCCACUCUUUGAGGGUAAAGGUUUGGAGCCGAGUUUUCACCUGCGCGAAACACAGAUCCAGGAAUAAACUCAUUCAUCUCAAAGUCAGCUCCGGGUCCCCGGACAUGGCUGGCUGGUCCACACAGACGCCAUAUCGAAGGAAGGGUUUUCCCUUUAAUUUUACAUUCUUUGCCCUUUCUACAGAUGGUUUAAAAGCAAUGAAAAUGCGCCUCCCCUAUCUGCUCCAUGCAGAUCCUUCGAGACAGAACCCAGAAUCAGAACUUUGGCAAACCAAAUCUCAGGUGAGACCACAGGGACAAGUUUGCACACGUAUUAUCAUUCUUUUAUUAUUGUUGUUAUUGCAAUUGUGAAGAUGGAACCCCGGUCCUCAAAAAUGAUAAGCACAGCCUCUUCCACUGAGCUAUACCCUGGAGCCUGAUGCCCUCAAGCCUUCUGUACAGAGUGCCUUGGGACCCUGGAAACCUGCCUGCUGCCUAUCUGUAAUGGAAAUUAUCUCUUGCAAACCCUUGUCCCCUUUAUGGGGUUAUGAAUCCACACAAAUAUUCUCAGAAGAAACAAGUCAAAGGUCACUGGACGCUGAGUGGCUACCUGGAGCCUCAGUUUCUUCAUUGCCUUUUGAGGACGGAGGGAAGAAGCUUGAGACACAUUCAGAGGAGAAGCCAUCAGCCACCUGGACCAUGCCAAAACAGAAGCUGCCUCCCCCUCCUACAGAGUAUGUGUACCAGCUUGUCUGGGUUUUGAUUGACAGGGGAACGUUUUCCUGACUGGCAAAUAUUUGUGUUCCCGAGUUGGCUGUGCUUCGCUUCCUGGUUUGCACAGUCUCUAAAAGAGCAAAGGCAGUAUACAGAGAGGAUGGCGAUAGGAGACAGACAGGAGGCUGGUAGGAGAACAGCUAGCUCCAUGCCUCUUCCUGUAAGACGGGGACAGUGCUGCUGAGUGGCCAGACACUGGGCUUCUGGGGGCAGAAGAUGAGGGUACCUGUGCCCUGCAGGAUGCUUCAACGUGUCUCUCUGGCAGAGAGUUUAUAACACCCAAAAGCAGGUGUGACCAACUUCUGGCAGCAGAUACACAGAGGGAGAAAGGGUGGCUACCCCACACCAAGGGUAAGACUCAACCCAAGCAGCUACUCCAAUAGGGCACAGAUAAAGCUCCAAAGAUGAUACCUGCUGGGCACAGGCCUCCAAUCCCAGCACACUGGAGAUACUGCUGCUGCUGGUGUGUGUGUGUGUCCAUCCAGUCUAGUCUCCCCCAGUCCUCCCACCCUCCCACCCCUACUCAGACCCAUUGUGCAUCAAGCUGGGCUGGAGGGAGGGAAGCUUAACAUGCGCAGAAGAUAAAAUUAUAAAAGCCAGACUCAGAAGUCUGGGCAUCGUGAUUCUCUUCAACCAUGCGUCCACCAACACGCAGGUCCCUAGCAACAGAAAGAUCUGCAGUUGCCCAGGAGGAAGGGGAGAUGGGAGACUGUUCGCGGUAUUCACUCUUCCUUGGAGGUUCUGGGUAAAGGUUCCACCACUCUGUGAGUUUGCCAAAGUACUGAAUUAUAUGUGCUCAAAAUCCAGUGGUUUUUGCUUUUUUGUUGUUGUUUUUGUUUUUCUGUUUUUUGAGACAGAGUUUUCUUCAUAUGGCCCUGGCUGUCCAGGAAUUCGAUCUGUAGAUCAGACUGGCCUUGAACUCAGCGAUCCUCCUGCCUCGGUCUCUCAAGUCUUGGGAGUAAAAGUGUAUGCCACCAUGCCAUCUGAUGGGUUCCAGGUUCCCUGAACACUAAGAAGCUCAGAGAUCAACACACACACACACACACACACACACACACACACACACACACACACACCGCCCCAGCACCCAGGGGAUGAACAGACAGGAAGGGCAAACAAAGCAGAGACAGUGGGGCCAUGGUGUGUGUGUCGGGUAGGGGGGAAAAUAACAAAAGCAGCUUGGGAGAGACCAGUUUACUUCAGCCCACAGUUCCAGGCUACAAACCCUCGCUGCAGGGAAGUCAAAGCAGGAGUGUAGACAGCUGACCUCAUCACGCCGCUGACAAGAACAGAGAGCGGUGCAUGCAGUCUGAUUAGUGCCCAGUCCGCCUUCUCCUCUUUUACAGACCAAAGCUGCACCCCUGGGAAUGGCUACACGUGCUUUGAAUCUGCAUCUGUGUAUAGCGAUGGAGAGAGUCUUCCACAGGCCUCCCUGAUGUAGCCUACCCCCCACUGAGACCGCAACAUUGUAUCAAGAUGACAAUUGGCACUAGCAGCCUCCAGAUUACCUAAGGUGGAUACUUAGGACCCCACAUCAUUAUUUAGUGCUUUAGGGGGAAAAAAAACCCUACCUACCUCAGGGGGCUAGGAUGCCUCACAAGGCCAAAGGUUAGAGGUAGAGGCAUUGGUGUGAUUUUGUAUCUGGUUAAUAGAUAGGACCUUGGGGAAUCUGGCUCAGUGGCUAGAAUUCCCAGAGCCCCAGGUGCAAUCCCUGGUACUGC